GCAAGUCGAGCGCCACCUUCGGGUGGAGCGGCGAACGGGUGAGUAACACGUUGGAACCUGCCUCGAACUCAGGGAUAACACCUAGAAAUAGGUGCUAAUACCGGAUAGUCCCGAAAGGGUAAAGAUUUAUCGGUUCGAGAGGGUCCUGCGGCCUAUCAGCUUGUUGGUGAGGUAAUAGCUCACCAAGGCUAUGACGGGUAGCUGGUCUGAGAGGAUGAUC
rnacentral:rRNA from 1 species